GUGGGGAAUAUUGCACAAUGGGCGAAAGCCUGAUGCAGCGACGCCGCGUGAGGGACGACGGCCUUCGGGUUGUAAACCUCUUUCAGUACCGACGAAGCGAAAGUGACGGUAGGUACAGAAGAAGCACCGGCCAACUACGUGCCAGCAGCCGCGGUAAUACGUAGGGUGCAAGCGUUGUCCGGAAUUAUUGGGCGUAAAGAGCUCGUAGGCGGUUAGUCACGUCGGCUGUGAAAACCUGGGGCUCAACCCCGGGCCUGCAGCCGAUACGGGCUGACUAGAAUUCGGCAGGGGAGACUGGAAUUCCUGGUGUAGCGGUGAAAUGCGCAGAUAUCAGGAGGAACACCGGUGGCGAAGGCGGGUCUCUGGGCCGAUAUUGACGCUGAGGAGCGAAAGCGUGGGGAGCAAACAGG
rnacentral:rRNA from 1 species